GAUGAACGCUGGCGGCGUGCUUACCACUUGCAAGUCAAACGAACCUUCGGGUUAGUGGCGGACGGGUGAGUAACGCGUGAAAAUCUGCCCUCAGGAGGGGGAUAACGGCUGGAAACGGCCGCUAAUACCCCAUAUGCCGCGAGGUGAAAUGAAUUUCGCCUGAGGAUGAGCUCGCGUCUGAUUAGCUAGUUGGUGGGGUAAAGGCCUACCAAGGCAUCGAUCAGUAGCUGGUCUGAGAGGAUGAUCAGCCACACUGGGACUGAAACACGGCCCAAACUCCUACGGGAGGCAGCAGUGGGGAAUUUUCCGCAAUGGGCGAAAGCCUGACGGAGCAACGCCGCGUGAGGGAUGAAGGCCUCUGGGCUGUAAACCUCUUUUAUCAAGGAAAAAAAUCUGACGGUACUUGAUGAAUAAGCCACGGCUAAUUCCGUG
rnacentral:rRNA from 1 species